AGUGACCAGGUUGUGGGUUCUCCUGUGAUAGCCAUCUGAGAAUGUAGUUCUCUGUUUUUUACUUGGUUCUAGUCAGAAAACGUGGUCUGUGUUAGACGCCCUAGGGGACAAAGUGAAUUAGACCCGGCCCUGACUCCAGGCUGCCCCCUCUUCUCUGUUAUUCCUCCCAUUGCAGCUUACAGGUGUCUCGGUCAGAAUCUUAGGAAGUGGGGUCUGCCUAUGAGAAUAAAAAAAAACUCCCCAGGUGUUUCUAACGUAUAGCUGUUUUUUGUUGGGAAUCACUACAUUAAAUUACCUCAAAGAUUCUUGCCAUUUCAGAUAUUUUUUGGUUUCCUGUUUUUCUAAAAUUUUAAUUUUUUUGUAGAGGUGAGGCCUCCCUAUGUUGCCCAGGCUAGUCUCAAACUCUUGGGCUCAAGCUAUCCUCCCACCUCCCAAAGUGGGGAGCCUUGCUAGCCUCCCAAAGUGUUAGGAUUACAGGCCUGAGCCACGGUGCCUAGCUUCCCCUAAUUCUUGAGCUCUUCUAGAUCCACUAGAUUCUCUUUCACCAACCUGAAGUAGGAUCAUUUUAGUUAGGGUCAGAUUAUUGUCUUCAAUCCCAAGUGACGCUGUUCUUUUGUGACCACUAAACCCCACAAAGAUUUUUUUUUUCUGAUUUCAAGACUUCCCCUCCUAACUCAUUCUGCAAAUUUUAUUGAACUUCUACUAUAUGCCAGAGGCCCGAUUCUAGGCACUGGGGAGAAAUACAAUGGUGCAGACAAGGAGCCUUUUCUCAUGGAGCUUACAUUCUAGAGUCGGAUCCAGAUCAGUAUGAAUUUCCUACUUAUUUUGUUUGAAUCUCUUUCCUAAACUGUCAACUGUAUUCUUCUGGUUACUCAUUCCUACUUCAUCCUAGGGCAGAAACAUAAAUUAAGUCCAUUUUUAUACUUGGUGUUAUGCACUGGAUGUUUUUGUCCCUCUCAAAUUUAUAUGUUGAAAUGUAAUCCCUAAUGUGGUGGAUUGGAGGUGAGGCCUUUGGGAGGUAAGUAGGUGAUGAGGAAAGAACCCUCAUGAAUGGAACUAGUGCCUUAUACAAAGAGGCAGGAGACCUAGCUCCUCUGCUUGCCACCUUGGGAGGAUACAACACAAAAUUGGCAGUUUGCGACCUGGAAGAGAGUCUUUGCCAGCACCUCACCAUGCUGGCGCCCUGAUCUCUGACUUUCAGCCUCCAGAAUGGUGGGAAAUUUCUGUUGUUUGUAAGCCACCCAGUCUACAUUACUUUGUUAUAGCAGCUGGCUAAGACACUUGUUUAUCUUACCUCUGUAGGAAAAUGAUAAAUCAGAUAAUGGCAACCACUGUGAAUUGCAGUAUCUCAAGGAUAUUAUGGGAUCUCCAUGGCAGAUCAGUGUGGAAAUGGAUGUGGACGCAGUGCUGCUGCCUGAGAUUAGCAGGAAGCAAUUCUUUUCCCAUUUGGAGAGACCCCAGUGAGACCUGAUCAACUAGCAACAUGCGGAAGUCACACCAUUAAAUCUUCCAAUUUGCUAGCAGCAAAUCAAUGAACUCUGAUAGCUGCUGCCCUAAGCUAGCAUCCAGGGAACUGUGGACAAGCUAUCUGAUACCUGAAUUUUAGUGAAGGAACGUUAAUUUUUUUUCUUAAGGCAGGGAAGGAGUGGGGUUGUGUGGGAAGAUUAUAUUAAGCAGUGAGAGAAGACAGUUGGAGUUUUGUAAAAAGAGAGCUGGUCGUUUCAAAUUGUAUCUUUACUUAAAAUUAUUGAAGAGUUGUUGGUAAUUAGUGUUUUGUUGUUAUGUGUUUAUAGCAACCAAUUAAUAAGAAAGGCUUUUGUUUUUAUUUCAUUAAUUGGAGCUGAGCUUUAUUUUUUAUUAUAAAUACAAGGCAUUAUUCUAGGGCCUGGCAAACAUAGGCAGCCCCCCUUUUUUCUGAGCAAGAUUAUAUCUUGGUAUGUUUUCACCACCAUGAGAUGAAAAUUUGAGAAUACCAAGAGACAGAUACUUGCCUGAGGAGUUUUAUUUUCCCUUUAAUCCUUAUCAUAUCCAGAUAUUAGCUAUAUUGCCUCGACCUGCUGUCUGAAGGUGGGUUUCUUCGAUUGUUUGAAGAGUUCUGGGCACUGGAGGUGCUUACUUUGUGAUGAGAGCAAAUAACAGGAUGUUGCCCAUGACACGGUCAAGCCUCUUCUUCAGCUAACCACCUGUCCUGGACAUCUUUUCAUAGAGAUAUACCUCAUCCCUUUUAAUAACUGCAGAAUCUUGGACAUUUAGAGAUCUCCAAUACUGGUUGUCAUUUAUGGUGUAUUUUUUUAUUAUGAUAAUGUUGCAAUAAAUAUCCUAGCAACCUAUUUUUGCUUACAUGUAGCAUAUUUUUGAAGGAUAAAUUCCUUCAUGUGAAAUUGAAGGGUCAAAGUAUAAAUGGAUUAAAAUUUCAAUAUUAGUUAAUUGUCCUACAGUGGAAUUACAACAAUUUAUACUUCCACCAAGAAUUCAUGAAAGUCUGCCUUACUAUGUAACAUUUCUAAUCUUUCUCAAUCUGAUAUGGAGAAACAUGUUUUAUUGUUCUAAUUUUUUUUUCAUUAAAAGAGAGACUUUGAAUACCCCUUAUCUCUUUAUAUGUUUCAAAAACACUUGUAGGCCAGGUGUGGUGGCUCACUCUUGUAAUUCUAGCACUUUGGGAAGCGAGACGAUUGCUGGAAACUAGAAGUUUGAGACCAACCUAGGUAAUAUAGGGAGACUCUAACUCUACAAAAAAAUAAAAAAAUUAAGCGGGCAUGGUGGUGUGUGCCUGUGGUGCUAGCUGCUCAGGAGGCUGAUGAUGGAAGGACUGCUUGAGCCUGGGAAAUGGAGGUUGUAGUGAGCUGUGAUGUCACCCUUGCACUCCAGCUUGGGCAACAGAGUGAGACCCCAUCUCAAAACAAAACAAAACUUUUUUUUUUUUCAGUGAAUGUCUCUUUAUAGAUUUCACUUUCUAAAAAUUGUUGGCAUUUUAUUUGAUUGACUGUAAAGCUCAUUAUAUGUUAAGCAAUUUAGACUUUUUUUUUUUUGAGAUGGAGUCUCUGUCACUUACGCUGGAGUGCAGUGGAGUGAUCUUGGCUCACUGCAACCUCCACCUCCCAGGUUCAAGCAAUUCUCGCACCUCAGCCUCCCUAGUAGCUGGGAUUAAAGGCACCUCACGUCAUGCCCAGCUAAUUUUUGUAUUUUUGUAGAGGCGGGUUUCACCAUGUUGCCCAGGCUGGUCUUGAAUUCCUGACCUCAGGUGAUCCACCUUUCUCAGCCUCCCAAAGUGCUGGGAUUACAGAUGUGAGCCACUGCUCCUGACCAAAUUUAGACUUUUAAAACCAAAUUUUGAAGGUUGGUUUAAAAAAAAAAGUAAAUGACUGGAUCAUGUUCUAAGUACUCAUGGUCUCAGCCUAACCCGGUUGCAAAAGGCCUAGCCAAAGGCUCUCUGCUCAGUGAAAGUUCCAUGAAUCUCAGGAUUGGAGGAUAGUCUGGGAACACCUAACCUGCACAUGCAAAUCUGUGAAGAAAGACGAAGUGUUAGGCUUAUGUGGAGCUAAAUAGUUGCAUGUUUAAUGCAAUGGCACGGGUACAGGUAAUGGUGAUUGGAGUUGGAGGGGUGAUUGUGUGGUGGGUGAGGAAGUCAGGGCUGAGUCUUAGGUGGAAUCAAUGAGUGUUGUGUAUUUAGGCAUCUGAGGGAUAGAACGCUUAUGACAGGGUUUAUUUUCAUUCUCUUUCAAGGACAGCCAUGCUGCCUUGCUGCUUCUUGCUGGUGUACACAGAACACUUGGAGUCCUACGAAUCCCUUUUGAUGCUGGUGCCUUUCAAGGCCAGGGCUUUGCUUCUGCUCAGAGGAUGCUUGCCCAGGCCCUACCAGACUCUCUUGGGGUGAGAGGCAAAUUUUCUUUCCAAUGCUCUGUGUGGGCCCCACAAGGCAUUUUCUUUCAUUUUGGAUUCUGUCCUAGCUCCCCAUGAAAGCUAAUGGCUAUUGGAAUUAACCCAAAUUUUCUCCUUUGGUAUUUAUAAAAAGAAACACUGAAAAACCUUGAAAUUAACUAACAAUUUUUUUAAAAAAAACAUGGAUAGGUUAAUUCUUUCCUGGAGAUGAUUCUUUCUUCUCAAAUAGGCCGCUUUACAGACUGGAAAUCACCCCAGUCUUCAAAGCCUAAUAUUUUUCACAUAUGAUUCCAGCAAAUGGCUGUUUGCAUGAUACCUUGGUGGGGACUCACUUAAGAGCUAGAUUUGUUAGUGUAUUUACUGACAUUUUCACAUGAUGUUUUGAGCUGCCUGAAUAAUUGUAAUAUUUAUCAGAGAAAGAUCAAAGUGAUGAAAGGUACCUACAAUUAUUCAUAUCUCAACAUUACAAGCCUUAAUUUCCUGCCUGAAGUGUGGUGAAUUACUCAUUUUUAAAGUCAUCUAUAGCCACUGAGAGUUUAUGGUGAAGUAUAUAGAUGUUUUGUAGAUUCCAAAAAAAAUCAAUGACUAUGAAUAUCACAGACUGUCAAAAGAGCUGAUGUGAUUAUAAAAUAAUGAGAUCAACUAAAUACAGCAGCUCUCAGACAUCCAAAUUGUAAGAGGAAAAUGAAGACGAGAGAGGGGGAAGUGAAUUGCUUAAUAUCUUGUGGGUACCAAAUAAUAGUCUGUAUCUGCCUCUGCCACGCCAAAGAUUUUGCACUGUUACCUACACACCCAUCCAUUCCCCUUUUUGCAGGCUUUGUCAGGCCAGGAGAUGGUUUUGCAGCAGCAGCAGAUUAUAAACCAGGCUUUGGGAGACAGGCUCUCUGGUUUGUUCUGGCUAUCCACACUCUGAAAGACAACUGUGACAGCUAUGGGACAACAGCAGUAGCAUCCUACGGUUGCUGAUAUCUAGAUGCAGUAUGGCCAUUACUGUGUGACACAUGUGGACACUGACCCUCAGAGAUGUCAGGAGUCAGAGAGAAUCAGGGGAGGCUGGAAGAUCAGCAACGACUGUACAAACACCGAGUAAGAAACGCGGGACUCUAUGGAGACAACCCAGUCUUUUCUAUGGCUAUUUCUUCAUGGAUUCUGUGGUAGGUAGAAUAACUGUCCUCCAAAGACAUUCACAUCCUAAAUUGUGGAAACCGUGGGUAUGUUAUCUAAUACGGUGGAAAGGAUUUUGCAGAUAUAUAAGAAUUUUGAGAGGGGAAAAUUCUCCUGGGCUAUUUGGGUGGGCCCAAUGUGGUCAAAAAGAUCUUUUUUUGUAAGGGAGAGAGAGAAAUAUGAGAGUUAGAGAAUGAGAUGUGAUGAUGGGCAAGGAUUGCAAAGACAUGGGACCAUGAGCCAAGGAAUGUGGGAAGGGCAAUGGAACAUCUUCUUCAUCUAAAGUUGGAAAGGGUAAGAUUGCAUCUUCUUCUCUAGAGUCACCUGACAGCCCGUCUUAGACUUUUGACUGUGACUGCAGGAUCAGAACUUUGUGCUGUUUUAAUCCACUAAGUUUGUGGUAAUUUGUUAUAGCAGCCACAGGAAACUAAUACAGCAUCUUCGAGGAGUAAGGGGCUGCCCUGCAAAUCUAAAAUUUCAAUUUUUUGAGUUAUUUGGGUAACACAAUUUUAGAGGAUAUUUUUCAAGAACUAUUUGGAUAUGCAUUAAUAACAGUUAUGGGUUUAGUGGUUUGAAGGAAAAAUACAAUGGCAGUAGCAACAGUAAUAGUAAUGGGUAAUAGUUAUUAAGGCUUAUGUGUGCCAAGUGCUGGGUUGGGGUGCGGAUGUACCUUCCCUCUCAUUUUCUAAAACAAUUCUAUGAGACAAUUAUCUUCAUUUUACAGAGGAGGAAAUUGAGCCUGAGAGAGCCAUGUGAUUAGUGGUGGAGCUGGCAUUUGCACACAAAUAUAGAUGACUCUUGACUACGACUUGAAAUGGUUUUUCUACAUAUUUAAUUCAUUGAUGGGAAAGAACAAGUCAUGUGUGAAAGCAGGGACAUGAGCCAAUGAUGAAAGUUGAGACAGGCCUCCUGUGGCCCUAGGGGUGUAUAUUGACUCCGUCCCCACCAUGACAGAGAUGAGGGAUGCUGUCUCCUUUCCAUCUUUCUCUUCUAUCCAUGCCAGCCAGCCGCUUUAUAAAGUACCCACCUUCAGUGCACAGCACUUUCCCCCACUCUUUCUGGCCAAGUGUGACACUUCCCUUAAAAGAAAGCACACAAUUUCAUACUGCACGAUGAGUGUCUUUCCUGCCAGAAACAACAAGGAUGGAGAGGCUGUGGGGCUACUUUAGCUGCCAUAAGUGAGAAGGAUUUUGGGUGAGUGGGAUCAGGAGCAUGUAAGAUGAGAAGACCAAAAUCUUAAUGAGAUGCUGCCCCAACCAGCAUAACCAAAUAUGGUAUCAGAACUGAAAUCAUUCAAAAUAUGACGAGUGCCAUUGUAAAAUGUAAUGCUCUCUACUUCAUAGGGUGGUUAUGUGAAUGGAGUUAAUAAAUGCAGAGUGCUUUGAAUGGUGCUAUAGAAGUGUAGCUGUUACUCUACUGCAGCCACUCUGGAACUACUCCUGCUGCUACCAGCGCCGCUGUUACUAUCGCCACUGCCAUGAUUACUACCACUAUCACAAUUACUCUCACUAUUGCCGUUGACUACCUCUGCUACCAUUGCUGCUGCUGUUGCUACUACUGUACUGUUAUUAUGACAAUUAUUAACACUACUACCAUUACUGUCAAUCUGCAAGCAGAGAAAGUGCUUCCAUUACAAUAAAUAUGCCAACAGACUUCUGUACCUUCAUCAAGGGUGGCUAGAGCACAUCCUCAGGUCAUCCUGGAAUUGCCUGGCAAUAGUUCCCGGUCUGAUUCUUUUCUUUGGGCUGUUGGCAUCCUUUUGCUACUGCUCAGGUUUGGACAAAGUGGCUGUCAUUGCCCCGAGCACUCUGAGGUAGCAACUGUGCCUGCUUCACUAAUCCUUGUCAAUGACAAAUGCUCCUCAAAUCUAUUCCCCAAUGGCCAUUUGAAGUGGACAAACAACUCCACAGCCAUGAAAUAUCAUGCUUUAAAUAGAAGGCACUAUGUCAAAUGCCACCAGCAACUCAGCCUUGGAGCUGCUGAUCUCACACCGAUUCAGAUGCCUUGGAGAUAAUCCUAAGAACUAACCUUUAACAGGUACUUAUUGUGCCGUAUCAAGUGCUGUCCCAGGUACUUAACACAGAUUUAAUUAUUUGACUCUCCAAGAAGUCUUCAAAGUAGUUAUUGCUAUCAAUCACGUUUUACAAAUGAGAAAACUGAGACACA